rnacentral:rRNA from 1 species
UACGUAGGGGGCAAGCGUUGUCCGGAAUCAUUGGGCGUAAAGAGCGCGUAGGCGGUCCGGUAAGUCCGCUGUGAAAGUCGAGGGCUCAACCCUCGAAUGCCGGUGGAUACUGCCGGGCUAGAGUCCGGAAGAGGCGAGUGGAAUUCCUGGUGUAGCGGUGAAAUGCGCAGAUAUCAGGAGGAACACCGAUUGCGAAGGCAGCUCGCUGGGACGUUACUGACGCUGAGACGCGAAAGCGUGGGGAGCAAACAGG